CUCUGAAAAGACCUAAUAAAUAGGCGCCGAAGGAGAAAGUUGUAUUCAAUAUAGCGAUACUCUCAGGUAAACAAACAGAG
rnacentral:ncRNA from 1 species